CAACCCGCUGUCAACUCGCUGACCACCGCCACAUCCGUGAUAUUAAAAAAACCCCAGAUAAUCAUGGGAUUAUGCACACCGAGGAAGAGCCAGCCAGGGCUAAGUAGUCUCCUGGAGAACAUCGUUCAGUGGCCGAGCAAGCGGACCGUCUACAAGGACAGGAUCGCUCAGCGGUCACCGAUCCAAGAAGGAACCACGCUCGUUCCGGCUUGACUGGGUUAUGACAGUGAGAACCCACCAGACAAUAGCGGCCAUUGCUACAAAUCUACCGAUUUUUAUCAUAAAAAGUGUGCAAAUAGAGUGCAACUCAGUGUUUAAACACAUACGCCUUGGAACUUCGGUAUAAAUAAGCUAUUUCAGAAGCGUUUAAAAGAUAACAAAAGUUCUGCACAAGGUAACAACUUUGCUCCCAUGUGAGCUUACAAAUAAUGACAAACAAUAUGUGUGGUUCAGAAAAAUAAGUUCCGAGUUAUUUAAUUAUUUCCAAACUAGGCCUAGUGAAUCUUUACAUCUUAUGUUUGUGUGCAAUAAAGUUAGACCAGA